rnacentral:rRNA from 1 species
GGUUAAGCGACUAAGCGUACACGGUGGAUGCCCUGGCAGUCAGAGGCGAUGAAGGACGUGCUAAUCUGCGAUAAGCGUCGGUAAGGUGAUAUGAACCGUUAUAACCGGCGAUUUCCGAAUGGGGAAACCCAGUGUGAUUCGUCACACUAUCAUUAACUGAAUCCAUAGGUUAAUGAGGCGAACCGGGGGAACUGAAACAUCUAAGUACCCCGAGGAAAAGAAAUCAACCGAGAUUCCCCCAGUAGCGGCGAGCGAACGGGGAGCAGCCCAGAGCCUGAAUCAGUGUGUGUGUUAGUGGAAGCGUCUGGAAAGGCGCGCGAUACAGGGUGACAGCCCCGUACACAAAAAUGCACAUAUUGUGAGCUCGAUGAGUAGGGCGGGACACGUGGUAUCCUGUCUGAAUAUGGGGGGACCAUCCUCCAAGGCUAAAUACUCCUGACUGACCGAUAGUGAACCAGUACCGUGAGGGAAAGGCGAAAAGAACCCCGGCGAGGGGAGUGAAAAAGAACCUGAAACCGUGUACGUACAAGCAGUGGGAGCACGCUUCGGCGUGUGACUGCGUACCUUUUGUAUAAUGGGUCAGCGACUUAUAUUCUGUAGCAAGGUUAACCGAAUAGGGGAGCCGAAGGGAAACCGAGUCUUAACUGGGCGUUAAGUUGCAGGGUAUAGACCCGAAACCCGGUGAUCUAGCCAUGGGCAGGUUGAAGGUUGGGUAACACUAACUGGAGGACCGAACCGACUAAUGUUGAAAAAUUAGCGGAUGACUUGUGGCUGGGGGUGAAAGGCCAAUCAAACCGGGAGAUAGCUGGUUCUCCCCGAAAGCUAUUUAGGUAGCGCCUCGUGAAUUCAUCUCCGGGGGUAGAGCACUGUUUCGGCAAGGGGGUCAUCCCGACUUACCAACCCGAUGCAAACUGCGAAUACCGGAGAAUGUUAUCACGGGAGACACACGGCGGGUGCUAACGUCCGUCGUGAAGAGGGAAACAACCCAGACCGCCAGCUAAGGUCCCAAAGUCAUGGUUAAGUGGGAAACGAUGUGGGAAGGCCCAGACAGCCAGGAUGUUGGCUUAGAAGCAGCCAUCAUUUAAAGAAAGCGUAAUAGCUCACUGGUCGAGUCGGCCUGCGCGGAAGAUGUAACGGGGCUAAACCAUGCACCGAAGCUGCGGCAGCGACGCUGAUGCGUUGUUGGGUAGGGGAGCGUUCUGUAAGCCUGCGAAGGUGUGCUGUGAGGCAUGCUGGAGGUAUCAGAAGUGCGAAUGCUGACAUAAGUAACGAUAAAGCGGGUGAAAAGCCCGCUCGCCGGAAGACCAAGGGUUCCUGUCCAACGUUAAUCGGGGCAGGGUGAGUCGACCCCUAAGGCGAGGCCGAAAGGCGUAGUCGAUGGGAAACAGGUUAAUAUUCCUGUACUUGGUGUUACUGCGAAGGGGGGACGGAGAAGGCUAUGUUGGCCGGGCGACGGUUGUCCCGGUUUAAGCGUGUAGGCUGGUUUUCCAGGCAAAUCCGGAAAAUCAAGGCUGAGGCGUGAUGACGAGGCACUACGGUGCUGAAGCAACAAAUGCCCUGCUUCCAGGAAAAGCCUCUAAGCAUCAGGUAACAUCAAAUCGUACCCCAAACCGACACAGGUGGUCAGGUAGAGAAUACCAAGGCGCUUGAGAGAACUCGGGUGAAGGAACUAGGCAAAAUGGUGCCGUAACUUCGGGAGAAGGCACGCUGAUAUGUAGGUGAAGUCCCUCGCGGAUGGAGCUGAAAUCAGUCGAAGAUACCAGCUGGCUGCAACUGUUUAUUAAAAACACAGCACUGUGCAAACACGAAAGUGGACGUAUACGGUGUGACGCCUGCCCGGUGCCGGAAGGUUAAUUGAUGGGGUCAGCGCAAGCGAAGCUCUUGAUCGAAGCCCCGGUAAACGGCGGCCGUAACUAUAACGGUCCUAAGGUAGCGAAAUUCCUUGUCGGGUAAGUUCCGACCUGCACGAAUGGCGUAAUGAUGGCCAGGCUGUCUCCACCCGAGACUCAGUGAAAUUGAACUCGCUGUGAAGAUGCAGUGUACCCGCGGCAAGACGGAAAGACCCCGUGAACCUUUACUAUAGCUUGACACUGAACAUUGAGCCUUGAUGUGUAGGAUAGGUGGGAGGCUUUGAAGUGUGGACGCCAGUCUGCAUGGAGCCGACCUUGAAAUACCACCCUUUAAUGUUUGAUGUUCUAACGUUGACCCGUGAUCCGGGUUGCGGACAGUGUCUGGUGGGUAGUUUGACUGGGGCGGUCUCCUCCUAAAGAGUAACGGAGGAGCACGAAGGUUGGCUAAUCCUGGUCGGACAUCAGGAGGUUAGUGCAAUGGCAUAAGCCAGCUUGACUGCGAGCGUGACGGCGCGAGCAGGUGCGAAAGCAGGUCAUAGUGAUCCGGUGGUUCUGAAUGGAAGGGCCAUCGCUCAACGGAUAAAAGGUACUCCGGGGAUAACAGGCUGAUACCGCCCAAGAGUUCAUAUCGACGGCGGUGUUUGGCACCUCGAUGUCGGCUCAUCACAUCCUGGGGCUGAAGUAGGUCCCAAGGGUAUGGCUGUUCGCCAUUUAAAGUGGUACGCGAGCUGGGUUUAGAACGUCGUGAGACAGUUCGGUCCCUAUCUGCCGUGGGCGCUGGAGAACUGAGGGGGGCUGCUCCUAGUACGAGAGGACCGGAGUGGACGCAUCACUGGUGUUCGGGUUGUCAUGCCAAUGGCACUGCCCGGUAGCUAAAUGCGGAAGAGAUAAGUGCUGAAAGCAUCUAAGCACGAAACUUGCCCCGAGAUGAGUUCUCCCUGACCCUUUAAGGGUCCUGAAGGAACGUUGAAGACGACGACGUUGAUAGGCCGGGUGUGUAAGCGCAGCGAUGCGUUGAGCUAACCGGUACUAAUGAACCGUGAGGCUUAACCUU